rnacentral:rRNA from 1 species
UACGUAGGGUGCAAGCGUUAAUCGGAAUUACUGGGCGUAAAGCGUGCGCAGGCGGUUAUGUAAGACAGUUGUGAAAUCCCCGGGCUCAACCUGGGAACUGCAUCUGUGACUGCAUAGCUAGAGUACGGUAGAGGGGGAUGGAAUUCUGCGUGUAGCAGUGAAAUGCGUAGAUAUGCGGAGGAACACCGAUGGCGAAGGCAAUCCCCUGGACCUGUACUGACGCUCAUGCACGAAAGCGUGGGGAGCAAACAGG